UAAUAAAACAAUACACAGGAAUGGGAAAGAAUGAACCAUUGUUACAUGCAACAACAUAGAUGAGUUUCACAGACACUGUUGAGUGAAAGAAGCUAGACACAAAAGUGCACAUAUUAUGUAAUUCACCCAAAUCAAGUUCAAAUAUUGGUGACAGAGAUCAGAGAGUGGUUACCUUUGUGGGCCACUGAAUGGGAAGGGGCACGAGGAAGCUGGAGAUGCUCUAUAUCUUGAUCUAGGUGGCAGUUAUUAGGAGGUACACAUAUGUAGAAAUUCAUUGUCAGUACACAUAAGCACUUAACCAAAUUUAUACCCUCAAAAACAAAAAGUAAAAGAAAAAAGAAUUAGAUCAUCCAUCCUGAUUUCAUGUACAAUAAUAGUCACUGUGGCUUCCCCUACAAGCAUUCAUACUGAUAUCCUAUUUCCUUAGUGUUCCAGGGGACCUUCCGCUCCCCAGGGAAGGCAUAUAUUUGAGAGCUCUAUCCUGGUAGACUGUGAGAACCACACUUGUAUCAGGCAGGGACGGAAGGGGCAAGGUAGAGAAAUACUGCGUGUAGAAGUAAUCUUUUCCCCACAACCUAGCAGAUUAGUACAAGCUCCAAAAAUGUUUAUUGAUAAAUAACAACAGCUACUACUUGAUAUAAAUAACAUUUACCAAACACUUUAUAUCAGGCACUGCACUGCUAGCUUUCCAUUUUCUUAUUUAAUACUUAUAUAACCCUACAAAGCUGUUUCAUUUUUAGUUCCACCGUACAGGUGAAGAAACGGAGAUUUAUGGAGGGUUGGUUAAGUUACUUGCCCAGGGCCUUACAGAUAGUUAGGUGGUGAAUGGAGAGUCAGUUAAUCUGAAUUUAGAAUCUGGACUCGAAACCACUUGCUAUGGAGCGCCUGGACGGCGUCCAAGCCCCGCCUGCAUGUUGUAUAACAUACACGGCUGAGCCCUGUGACAUUCCGAGUUGGACUGACGCUGUCGCAGUUGCCAGCCUUGGCGAUGGAUUCCUCCAGGGCCUGAGUCCCUCUAACUGCACACAGGUGAUAACUGCGCCAGAGAACCAACUGUGCCGGUCCUUUCCCCAACGACCUCCAGGCAAUUUGCGUGGGGAAUCAGGAAGGCUCGCCCUGCUCAGCAAUCAGAAGUUUUUUCCGACUUCAAAACACACGUCGGAGUUUCCC
rnacentral:lncRNA from 1 species